AACGAACGCUGGCGGCAUGCUUAACACAUGCAAGUCGAACGGAAACGCCCUGCCUGGGUGCGAUGCUCGGCGGGCGAACGGGUGAGUAACACGUGAGUACCCUACCAUUGACUUUAGGGUGACUUCAGGAAACUGAGUCUCAUACCGGAUCGGAGCUCCUGCUGCAGGGUGGGCGUGGGAUAGUUUCGGCGGUUGGGGAUGGACUCGCGGCUUAUCAGCUUGUUGGUGGGGUAGUGGCUUACCAAGGCCUUGACGGGUAGCCGGCCUGGGAGGGGCACCGGGCCCAUUGGGACUGCGAUACGGCCCAGACUCCAACGUGAGGCAGCGGUGGAGAGUCUUACACAGUGGGCCGGAGCCUAGUGCGGCAACGCCGCGUUCGGGAAGUGGUCCUGCGGGUAGGGAACCGCUUUCGUUUGUGACGGGGCGUUAAUGACGGUACCGGGUGAAUAAGCACCGGCUAACUACGUG
rnacentral:rRNA from 1 species